rnacentral:misc_RNA from 1 species
AAAGUCGUAACAAGGUAACCGUAGGUGAACCUGCGGUUGGAUCAUUAAAAAAGUUUGGUUCUCGUAACCAACCACAUUAUGUGCUUUGUUUAAACUGUUUCUGGUGGGGUUCAGAGUGCUUCAUAAAACUCGAGAUGCAUCUUGUCUUUAAUCCUCCGAGAUACUCUUGUUUCUUUGGGUUAGAUGACAUGGAUUGUUGUCUCGUGUUCUUGAUCCUCCCACCGCAAUAUCCAAAGGUCAAUGUUUCUUAACAUUGAUCUUUACAGACCUAUUACUUUAUAUAAUAAUUCUAGUCUUUAUGCGUCUUUGUACGUAAAAGCAAUUUCUUAAAACAACUUUUGACAAUGGAUCUCUUGGCUCUC